rnacentral:tRNA from 1 species
GCUGAUGUAGCUCAGUUGGUAGAGCAGCGCUUUCGUAAAGCGCAGGCCGGUGGUUCAAUUCCACUCGUCAGCU